UUUGGGUUAUUGCAGAAAAUAAUCUCUGUGGCAAACACAUAACAUAACGUUAAAAUCUCUUUAGCAUGUGUUAACCACAGACCUUAUUUCAGGCAUCUAACUUAAAACCCAUUGACUUCCAAAUGACGGAACCGGAAGUGAUAAAAUGCUAACUCGUGUCCAUGUUUUAGGACUCAUUCCUGUUGCACUCCAUUGUAUAGUACUGACACACACA